GACAGAGGGUGCAAACGUUGUUCGGAAUUACUGGGCGUAAAGCGAGCGUAGGCGGCUCGAUAAGUCGGGUGUGAAAGCCCUGAGCUCAACUCAGGAAGUGCAUUCGAAACUGUCAGGCUAGAGUGUCGGAGAGGUUGAUGGAAUUCUCGGUGUAGAGGUGAAAUUCGUAGAUAUCGAGAGGAACACCGGUGGCGAAGGCGGUCAACUGGACGACAACUGACGCUGAGGCUCGAAAGCGUGGGGAGCAAACAGG
rnacentral:rRNA from 1 species